GAUGAACGCUGGCGGCGUGCCUAAUACAUGCAAGUCGAGCGAAUGGAUUAAGAGCUUGCUCUUAUGAAGUUAGCGGCGGACGGGUGAGUAACACGUGGGUAACCKGCCCAUAAGACUGGGAUAACUCCGGGAAACCGGGGCUAAUACCGGAUAAYAUUUUGAACCGCAUGGUUCGAAAUUGAAAGGCGGCUUCGGCUGUCACUUAUGGAUGGACCCGCGUCGCAUUAGCUAGUUGGUGAGGUAACGGCUCACCAAGGCAACGAKGCGUAGCCGACCKGAGAGG
rnacentral:rRNA from 1 species